rnacentral:rRNA from 1 species
CCUGGUGGUUAUAGCGCGGGGCCUUCACCCGAUCCCAUCCCGAACUCGGUCGUUAAAUCCUGCAGCGCCAAUGGUACUUCGUCUUAAGACGUGGGAGAGUAGGUCGUCGCCAGGC